rnacentral:rRNA from 1 species
CCUACGGGCGGCUGCAGUGGGGAAUAUUGGACAAUGGGGGGAACCCUGAUCCAGCCAUGCCGCGUGUGUGAAGAAGGCCCUCGGGUUGUAAAGCACUUUCAGUGAGGAAGAACGCCUGGUGGUUAAUACCCAGCAGGAAAGACAUCACUCACAGAAGAAGCACCGGCUAACUCCGUGCCAGCAGCCGCGGUAAUACGGAGGGUGCGAGCGUUAAUCGGAAUUACUGGGCGUAAAGCGCGCGUAGGUGGCUUGAUAAGCCGGUUGUGAAAGCCCCGGGCUCAACCUGGGAACGGCAUCCGGAACUGUCAAGCUAGAGUGCAGGAGAGGAAGGUAGAAUUCCCGGUGUAGCGGUGAAAUGCGUAGAGAUCGGGAGGAAUACCAGUGGCGAAGGCGGCCUUCUGGACUGACACUGACACUGAGGUGCGAAAGCGUGGGUAGCAAACAGGAUUAGAUACCCCGGUAGUC